rnacentral:tRNA from 1 species
GCCUGGGUGGCUCAGUCAGUUAAGCAGCUGACUUUGACUCAGGUCAUGAACUCAUGGUUCAUGGGUUCGAGCCCCAUGUUGGGCU